UGGCGUCCAGGAGUGCCCCACAUGUGGCAGGUUUGUUCACCAGUGCCUCUUGGACCACAUUCUGACUUUCACGCAGCUGCAUGGUCUUCAUUCUGGCCACAGGUCCCUGAAAACGGGGUUGUUUUGUAACUUCCCAAAUUUCUCAGCAGUACCCCGCCCAUUAACACAGAUUUGGCCUGAGAAUCAUAGCAGAAAGAAAACCUUCAUCUUUCCUCUUAGGAAAACAAAAAGGUCUCCCUCUAGGGAGCUGCAGCCUGUUUCCAUGACUUGCUACUGGCGUGUUUUGUUUUAGCACCGUAAGACCUACAGUACGGAGGAGUACCACCACAGGCUGCAGACGUUUGCCAGCAACUGGAGGAAGAUAAACGCCCACAACAAUGGGAACCACACAUUUAAAAUGGCACUGAACCAAUUUUCAGACAUGAGCUUUGCUGAAAUAAAACACAAGUAUCUCUGGUCAGAGCCUCAGAAUUGCUCAGCCACCAAAAGUAACUACCUUCGAGGUACUGGUCCCUACCCACCUUCCGUGGACUGGCGGAAAAAAGGAAAUUUUGUCUCACCUGUGAAAAAUCAGGGUGCCUGCGGCAGUUGCUGGACUUUCUCCACCACUGGGGCCCUGGAGUCUGCGAUCGCCAUCGCAACCGGAAAGAUGCUGUCCUUGGCGGAACAGCAGCUGGUGGACUGCGCCCAGGACUUCAAUAAUCACGGCUGCCAAGGGGGUCUCCCCAGCCAGGCUUUCGAGUAUAUCCUGUACAACAAGGGGAUCAUGG
rnacentral:lncRNA from 1 species